UUCAAGGAGAGGUAAAAAAAUAUUUUAUUGGUGUGAGCAAAGGAUGAAAUUUGUAUUUAUAAAAUGAUAAAACCAUUUAUCAUUUGGAAAGGGAAGAAAUAUGGCUAAAAUUAAAAAAAUUGUUUAUGUCAUGAUUAUCAUUUUUUCUCUAUUUCUUGCUGCAACACACGUUGAAUGUAAGCCAUUUUUUUCCUUUCUAAAUUUCCUUAUAUACUUUGUAUAAAUUUUUUAACUAACCUAAUUUACAUUACUCUAUCAUAUUUUCUCCUUGUAGCAUGGUGGUAUCCUAGUAGACGAUGUACUAAAGAAACAGAUUGUCAUCAAAAAAUGUGUCCAAAACAUAAGACAGAGAGGUGUCUCCGUGGUUGGUGUAAAUGUAUAGUGCCUGAGACUUUUAUACCUUUUUAAUUCUUUUUUAAUUAUGUAUUUAGUACCAUAUCCAAGAGAGGAGCCAAUAUCACUACAACAAUUUUGCUGUCAGUUAGCUUUUGUGUAUGUGUUGGCACACUAUAGCUUGAUUUUUAUUUCUUUAUCUAAUUUCAAGAAUUUUAUUUUUAUGACUUUGUAAUCUAAGAUGAUGGCUAUGAAAUAAAAUAAGGUAUCAAAUUAAUAUUAUUUGGAUUAUCUUUGAUAUAAAUAACAUUAUGGAUGUUCA
rnacentral:lncRNA from 1 species